rnacentral:rRNA from 1 species
GUGUCAGCAGCCGCGGUAAGACGGAGGAUGCAAGCGUUAUCCGGAAUUAUUGGGCGUAAAGCGUUCGUAGGUGGCUGUUCAAGUCUGCCGUUAAAGACCGGGGCUUAACUCCGGAAAAACUGUGGAAACUGAACAGCUAGAGUAGGGUAGGGGUAAGGGGAAUUCCCGGUGUAGCGGUGAAAUGCGUAGAUAUCGGGAAGAACACCGGUGGCGAAGGCGCCUUACUGGACCCUAACUGACACUGAGGGACGAAAGCUAGGGGAGCGAAAGGGAUUAGAAACCCCAGUAGUCC